UUGGUUGUAGAGAUUUAUUUUCUGUAAUUUUCACAUGUAAAGUUUAAUUUUACGGCGCUGUAAAGUGCAGACUACUUCACCGAGCUUCAAAAGAACAACGUGAUUUUUACACACAGAAUAAAAAGGUAAAAAUGAUAGAAAAAUACUUUUCUGUGAGACGGCUAACACCUUUAUCACUGACAUGUGCAUGCACGUCAACUGUACAAAGAAAUACAUAUUUAACCCCAUUAGUGCCUGGACUCGUGAUGCAACACCAAUCCUUUGGCAGUAAGGGAGAACAUUUUCAAACAAAACAGAGUAUUUGCAGACAUGCAUGUUAGAUUUUUCAGCAAAUUCCUUGUUUCUAGAUCUGUAUGCAUACUGAUCUUACGAUAACAGAAUAAUUAUAGUAAUAAAAUAACAAACACUCCUGUUCCUGGCCUGAUGGGUUUGGAAAUCAUCGCUCUGGUAGCAGAACAGUUAAACUGACUGUAAUGACCUGAAAACAAACAAAAAAUGACAGGCUGCUAUCUGUAUAUCAUAUAAUAUCAGUGUAACAAUAUAACUAGUGCAUCAUUUUCACCAGGGUUUAAUCUACUCGUAACAGCAAAAACAACCUUUUUAGUCCAAGAGGAAUACCCCUGGCACUAAAAAUGUUAAACUAUUUUUUUCCCAGUUGGAAUAUAUAGCCUAUAUAUAUUAUGAAAACAUUUCUGUAUACAUAUUAUAUUUCAAUCACAUUUUACAGAUACAUGAGAAUACAUAUUAAAAAAAAAAAAAAAAUCUAAAAACAAAUUCUGGCUUGAAGUAAAAAUGUGGUUACAAGCUUGACCUAGAUACGUUGCAGGUUUCUUGUAAAUCCGGUAAAAUAAAUGUAUUUUAUUGUAAAAAGAAAAAAUAGAUAUAUCAUAGCUGCUUGACAGCUGUCACUGCUAAGAUAUAGACAACAGUGUCUGUAACCUGCACAGCAUUAUGUGUCAGUCUUUAGCUCAGCAAGAUGUGUGAACAGACUGCAGAGCAAAAUGUGUUAGUAGCACACAGACAGUAUGUGCCUGAGCAAUGCACAUAUCUAAUGUACCUAUUGUAGUUACCUCCACCUAUCCAUAGGCACACCUCUCCCAAAGAAGGGAUAAAUAGCAGCACUGCAGGCUUACUCACUAGGUGGCGCUGCUCUAGGUAUUGAUCAUUUGCUUUAAUUGGAACCUCAGUGAAAAGAAUGGUAAUUCUUGUAACGUGUAUGAAUUUAAGUCAUGCUCUGUGGGCUGAUGAACACAAACAGGGUUAUUUAUUAAAGUGUGAAUUUAAAGUGAAUACAAAAUGUAAGACCAGAGUAGCCAAGCUGAAAGCACAGUUGACUUUUCAAGUUUGGCUAUUUUAACCUUAAAUGUGAAAUUCACUUUGAAUUCACACUUUGAUAAAAACCUUGAACGAUAAAACAAUUAACAGGUGUUAUAAAAACAGUGUACGGUUAAUAGUCGGGUGACCACUGGGAAAUCAGUCUGUGGUUUAUUUACGAAAUACUGGAUUGUAGUCAACUGAAAAAGGAACUGCAAAAAAAUUUGUAGAAAAAUUAAAUUUAUAGGGAGAAAGUGUCAGGUUGCUCUAUGAAGGUUGGAGGGUAACCCCUAUAACUCUAAGUAAACAAGAAUAAAGGCCACUCACAAAAGUUAAGCGGAACUAAAAAGAGUUCCAGCAUAACUGUCAUGAAGAAAAAAGCAACCCAUUUGUAGUUAGCAAAAUAGACAAAAAAAUUAAAUUAACGUUUAUUAAUACAUUAAAAUAGUAAUAUGAGAAAAUAGUGAUAUGAGAAAAAAAAUAGUGAUAUGAGAAAAAAAGAGUGAUGGUAAAUAAAGAACCUAUUAUAAUAAAUAAAAAAAAAAGAACCUAUCUAAUAUAUCGUCAAGAAAGUCUGUAUAUAUUGUGUGAAGUUAAUAUAUUAACAAUAUAGCUGCCGAACAUGUAUCCAGUUCGGGAGAAAAAUAGGCAGGGAGAAAGAAACAAAAGUAUCUGUAAAUUGGUACAAAUUAGCAAAGAGGUUACAGAGAGGCAGACAGAGCAGUAAUAUUUCUAUGUGCCUUCGAGGACAACCGAAUGACUGCUGAAAUAGCUAGAUAACUAUACUAUUAAACUAAUACUAUUGUGCAUAGAAGGGCACCUCUAUAAAUCCUAAGAUUCUACCCUGUCUAUUCUAAACUAAAACUAAAGAGAAUAAAAUAAAUAAAUAAAUAAUAAAAAAAAAACAUUGACAUUAGUAAAUGAUAAUUUGAUAAAAUCGAAGUGAGGUGGCUAGUCAUUUACUGGCGAAACGCGCGUCGGGACUGUUAAAGGACCACUAUAGUGCCCUGAAGGUGCCCCCACCCGCCGGGCUCUAGGGUGAGGAAGGGGUUAAACUUACCUCUUUCUCCAGCGCCGGGCGGGGAGCUCUCCUCCUUCAAUGAGACAGCCACUAGAGGCUGGAUUAACCCUAAUAUAAACAUAGUUUCUCUGAAAGUGCUAUGUUUAUAGAAAAAAGGGUUAACCCUAGCUGGACCUGGCACCCAGACCACUUCAUUAAGCUGAAGUGGUCUGGGUGCCUAUAGUGGUCCUUUAAGAAUGAGAGUGGCUCAAGACUUAGGGAUGAUGCUGCAGCUUUUUGAUCACACUGACUAUUUUUCUCCCAUCUCUACCGAAAUUAUAACUGACUAGCCACCUCAUACUUGGAUUUUAUGUAAUUAUCAUUUACUAAUUUCGAUUUUUUUUUUGUUUGGUUUGUUUUUCAUUUCUUCUCUAUUGUUUUAGUUAAGAACAGACAGGGUAGAAUCUUAGGUUUUUAGAGGCACAAUAGUAUUUAGUUAUCUAGCUAUUUCAGCAGCCACAGUGGUGCCCUCAAAGGCACAUAGAAAUAUUACUGCUCUGUCUGCCUCUCUGUAACCUCUUUGCUAAUUUGUACCAAUUUACAGAUACUUUUGUUUCUUUCUCCCUGCCUAUUUUUCUCCCGAACUGGAUACAUGUUCG